GACGAACGCUGGCGGCGUGCUUAACACAUGCAAGUCGAACGGAAAGGCCCUGCUUUUGUGGGGUGCUCGAGUGGCGAACGGGUGAGUAACACGUGAGUAACCUGCCCUUGACUUUGGGAUAACUUCAGGAAACUGGGGCUAAUACCGGAUAGGAGCUCCCGCUGCAUGGUGGGGGUUGGAAAGUUUCGGCGGUUGGGGAUGGACUCGCGGCUUAUCAGCUUGUUGGUGGGGUAGUGGCUUACCAAGGCUUUGACGGGUAGCCGGCCUGAGAGGGUGACCGGCCACAUUGGGACUGCGAUACGGCCCAGACUCCUACGGGAGGCAGCAGUGGGGAAUAUUGCACAAUGGGCGGAAGCCUGAUGCAGCAACGCCGCGUGCGGGAUGACGGCCUUCGGGUUGUAAACCGCUUUCGCCUGUGACGAAGCGUGAGUGACGGUAAUGGGUAAAGAAGCACCGGCUAACUACGUG
rnacentral:rRNA from 1 species